rnacentral:rRNA from 1 species
ACACGGAGGGUGCGAGCGUUGUUCGGAAUCACUGGGCGUAAAGCGGGUGUAGGCGGUCUAGCAAGUCAGAUGUGAAAGUCCAGGGCUCAACCCUGGAAGUGCAUCUGAAACUGUUAGACUUGAGUACUCGAGAGGGAAGUGGAAUUCCUGGUGUAGGGGUGAAAUCCGUAGAUAUCAGGAGGAGCACCGGUGGCGAAGGCGACUUCCUGGACAGAUACUGACGCUCAGACCCGAAAGCGUGGGGAGCAAACAGCAUUAGAUACCCCUGUAGUCC